AUACGUAGGGUGCGAGCGUUGUCCGGAAUUACUGGGCGUACAGAGCUCGUAGGUGGUUUGUCGCGUCGUCUGUGAAAUUCCGGGGCUUAACUCCGGGCGUGCAGGCGAUACGGGCAUAACUUGAGUACUGUAGGGGAGACUGGAAUUCCUGGUGUAGCGGUGAAAUGCGCAGAUAUCAGGAGGAACACCGGUGGCGAAGGCGGGUCUCUGGGCAGUAACUGACGCUGAGGAGCGAAAGCAUGGGUAGCGAACAGGAUUAGAUACCCUGGUAGUCCAUGCCGUAAACGGUGGGCGCUAGGUGUAGGGGUCUUCCACGACUUCUGUGCCGUAGCUAACGCAUUAAGCGCCCCGCCUGGGGAGUACGGCCGCAAGGCUAAAACUCAAAGGAAUUGACGGGG
rnacentral:rRNA from 1 species